UACGGAGGGUGCAAGCGUUAUCCGGAUUUACUGGGUUUAAAGGGUGCGUAGGCGGCCAGAUAAGUCAGUGGUGAAAGCUUACAGCUUAACUGUGAAAUUGCCAUUGAAACUGUCUGGCUUGAAUCUGGUUGAAGUGGGCGGAAUACAACAUGUAGCGGUGAAAUGCUUAGAUAUGUUGUAGAACACCGAUUGCGAAGGCAGCUCACUAAGCCAACAUUGACGCUGAGGCACGAAAGCGUGGGUAGCGAACAGG
rnacentral:rRNA from 1 species